UAAAGCUAAUAAGGGCAUAUGGUGGAUGCCUUGGCACCAAGCGCCGAAGAAGGACGUGACAAGCUGCGAUAAGCUACGGUGAGCUGCAAAUAAGCUUUGACCCGUAGAUCUCCGAAUGAGGAAACUCACUUCCGGUAAUGCGGAAGUAUCCGUACAUGAAUAUAUAGUGUAUAGGAAGGGAACCCGGGGAACUGAAACAUCUAAGUACCCGGAGGAAAAGAAAGUAAAUAAACGAUUUCGUAAGUAGUGGUGAGCGAACGCGAAAGAGCCCAAACCUGAGAAACUUGUUUCGAAGGGGUUCGGACCUGCAUAAUUCAAAAAAUCGAUAGUCGAACAUAGUUGGAAAGCUGGACGACACAGAGUAAUAGUCUCGUAGGCGAAAUCGAUUUUAGAUGGCGGGUAUCCAGAGUAGCACAGGACACGUGGAAUCCGGUGUGAACAUGUGAGGACCAUCUCAUAAGGCUAAAUACGACUUGGUGACCGAUAGCGUAUAGUACCGUGAGGGAAAGGUGAAAAGGACCCCGGGAGGGGAGUGAAAGAGAACCUGAAACCAUAUGCUUACAAGCAGACACAGCACAACUUAAUGUGUGGUGUCGUACUUUUUGUAGAACGGGCCGGCGAGUUACGUUGCGUAGCGAGGUUAAGUGAUUAAGUCACGGAGCCGUAGCGAAAGCGAGUCUGAAACUGGCGACAUAGUUGCGUGACGUAGACCCGAAACUGGAUGACCUAACCAUGAGCAGGUUGAAGCAGUGGUAAGACACUGUGGAGGACCGAACCCACGUUCGUUGAAAAGACCGGGGAUGACUUGUGGUUAGCGGAGAAAUUCCAAUCGAAUCCAGAUAUAGCUGGUUCUCCUCGAAAUAGCUUUAGGGCUAGCCUCUGAAUAGAUUACUGAUGGUAGAGCACUGAAUGGGCUAGGGGGCUUCACAGCUUACUGAACCUUAUCAAACUUCGAAUGUCAGAUAAUUGUUUUCAGGGAGUCAGACAGCGUGAGAUAAGUUUCGUUGUCAAAAGGGAAACAGCCCAGAUCUACAACUAAGGUCCCUAAGUACAAGUUAAGUGGUAAAGGAUGUGUCAAUUCCAAAACAACCAGGAUGUUGGCUUAGAAGCAGCCACUCAUUUAAAGAGUGCGUAAUAGCUCACUGGUCGAGAGAGGGUGCGCCGAAAAUUACCGGGGCUAAAACUUGUCACCGAAGUUUAGGAAUGUAAUUUAUUACAUUGGUAGAGGAGCAAUCUAUGCGGGCUGAAGCGGUAUCGUAAGGGGCCGUGGACUGCAUAGAAGAGAGAAUGCCGGCAUAAGUAGCGCGAGGGAAGUGAGAAUCUUCCCCGUCGAAUGCCUAAGGUUUCCUGGGGAAGGUUUGUCCCCCCAGGGUAAGUCGGGACCUAAGCCGAGGCCGAAAGGCGUAGGUGAUGGACAGCAGGUAGAUAUUCCUGCACCACCGAAAGCGUUUAAAUGAGGCAAUGACACAGUAGGAUAGUCAAUCCGCGGAGUUGGAUUUCUGCGGCUAAAUCGUGAGGCUUGCACGUAGUGAAGUACGCGUGCUAUAAGGCUGGGCGAUGAUGGGGAGCGAAAAUUAGUAGCGAAGUUGAUGAAUUCACACUGGCGAGAAAAGUUGCUAAAUAUGCUGUAAGGUGCCCGUACCGCAUACCGACACAGGUGGGCGAGGAGAAAAUCCUAAGACGGACGGGAUAACCCUUGUUAAGGAACUCUGCAAAAUGACCCCGUAACUUCGGAAGAAGGGGAGCCUGCGCAAGCAGGCCGCAGUGAAGAGGCCCAAGCAACUGUUUACCAAAAACACAGGUCUCUGCAAAAUCGUAAGAUGAUGUAUAGGGGCUGACGCCUGCCCAGUGCUGGAAGGUUAAGGGGAUGUGUUAGCGCAAGCGAAGCACGGAACUUAAGCCCCAGUGAACGGCGGCCGUAACUAUAACGGUCCUAAGGUAGCGAAAUUCCUUGUCAGGUAAGUUCUGACCC
rnacentral:rRNA from 1 species